rfam:Pseudonocardia sp. AL041005-10, complete genome.
CGACGCCGCGCGGGAGAGCCCCGGGGAACCAGCCCGGGCGCCGAAGGAGCAACCCCUUCCCGGAAUCUCUCAGGCACACGGACCGCGCGGUCGAG